GAUGAACGCUAGCGGCAGGCUUAACACAUGCAAGUCGAGGGGUAUUGGUUUUCGGACCAAGAGACCGGCGCACGGGUGCGUAACGCGUAUGCAAUCUACCUUUUGCAGAGGGAUAGCCCAGAGAAAUUUGGAUUAAUACCUCAUAGUAUAGUACUUUGGCAUCAAGGAACUAUUAAAGUCACAACGGCAAAAGAUGAGCAUGCGUCCCAUUAGCUAGUUGGUAAGGUAACGGCUUACCAAGGCUACGAUGGGGUAGGGGUUUCGUGAGAGGGAGACUCCCCCACACUGGUACUGAGACACGGACCAGACUCCUACGGGAGGCAGCA
rnacentral:rRNA from 1 species